CUUUUUAUUAAAGACGGUUCCUAGUGCACUAUUUGCUGGGCAGAAUCUGCUUGAAGAAGUCUCCCUCGGGGCUAUGUGUGGCUCUCAGCACAGCCCAGCAGUACAGCAAUUGUCAGAUGCAGAUAUGUUCCAUGCUUAGGAAAGAGACUGCUUCAGCAGAACGUGAAGAUAACAGAACACUUUAUGCCAAGCAGGAACAUAGGGUAAGAGCUACAAUGGAUGGCAGUGGGAGUCAGCAGCCUGGGAUACCACUGAGUGACGGGCAGGACAGGAAGCAGUUUGGGAUCACGGUGGAGCUCUGCUAGUGGAAAUGUAUGCUUUAACAUAGAACAGCAUUACUUGGAUUUUUCUGCUUUUUCAGUGUGGUUUUCAAUAUAGACACAGUUUAUGUCCUUAAAUUGAUGUGUUUAAGCUCAAUGUCAGAUUGUUGGAUGUUGUAAGAGAAAGAAUGAUGUUAGGGAAGUUGUGGAAAUGUAUUCAGAUACUCUGCCUUCUAAGCCUGUGGUAGCUGAAGUUGUUCCAUGAUGUGGAAUCUCUUUCCCUGUAGCACCAUGGAAGGGUUGGAUGUUAAGCCCACCCAGUUAACCCAGUAUCACAAACUACUAUGUUUUCCUUGAAUGUUUUGGAUCAAGCUUAAAGACUAAAUUAGUAUUUCAGUCAUCGUGUAAUUAGAGUGAUGGGGAAUGAAGGAAGAAGAUAGCACCAUCACUGGCAAGGUGUCUAGAGGUGGGAUUUCCCCACAUGGCCUUGUUUAGGAAUCAACCCUGACCAGCAGAAGGUGGAAAAACAAGCUUACUCCAAAACACCGCACCUUCUUUCCCUAAACCUUAGUGACCAAUAUAACCUUGGACCUGUAAGCAUAUUCUUGGUCUCACAAGAAAGGACAUUGAGUUCCUGCCCCCUGUGCGUUGAGGGAAGGCAGAACACCCCACUGGUGGAAGGUGACUGACAAACCCAGGGGAAAAAAUCCUCUUACGUUUACCAGUAACCUGCUGAUGCUGCGAGGCAUUAAAUCUAAUUAUUGUCUUAGGGCAGAGCUGCACCUUUUGUGUGAGUGUGUCCCAUUACAGAAGGGAGUCUGAAUCUCUCGAUUCACUUCAUAGGCCCUGAGGAGACCACAAUGAUGUGAGUCACAUCGCC
ensembl:lncRNA